GCUGGGUGCGGUGGGGCAGGCCUGUAAUCCCAGCGACUUGGAAGGCUAAGACAGGAGGAUCACAAGUUCAGAGCCAACCUCGGCAACUUAGUGAGACCCUGUCUCAA
rnacentral:sRNA from 1 species